GGGCUCGUGGUCUAGGGGUUAUGACGCCACCUUGACAUGGUGGAGAUCGCAGGUUCAAUUCCUGCCGAGCCCACCA
rnacentral:tRNA from 9 species